AUUGAACGCUGGCGGCAGGCCUAACACAUGCAAGUCGAACGAGUGGCGGACGGGUGAGUAAUGUCUGGGAAACUGCCCGAUGGAGGGGGAUAACUACUGGAAACGGUAGCUAAUACCGCAUACUAUCGGAUGUGCCCAUAUGGGAUUAGCUAGUAGGUGGGGUAAAGGCUCACCUAGGCGACGAUCCCUAGCUGGUCUGAGAGGAUGACCAGCCACACUGGGACUGAGACACGGUCCAGACUCCUACGGGAGGCAGCAGUGGGGAAUAUUGCACAAUGGGCGCAAGCCUGAUGCAGCCAUGCCGCGUGUAUGAAGAAGGCCUUCGGGUUGUAAAGUACUUUCAGCGGGGAGGCGUUACCCGCAGAAGAAGCACCGGCUAACUCCGUGCCAGCAGCCGCGGAAAUUC
rnacentral:rRNA from 1 species